UACGGAGGGUGCGAGCGUUGUCCGGAAUCACUGGGCGUAAAGGGCUCGUAGGCGGUCUGUUGCGUCAGGAGUGAAAACUCGGGGCUUAACCCCGAGCCUGCUUCUGAUACGGGCGGACUAGAGGUAUGCAGGGGAGAACGGAAUUCCUGGUGUAGCGGUGAAAUGCGCAGAUAUCAGGAAGAACACCCGUGGCGAAGGCGGCUCUCUGGGACGGUACUGACGCUGAGACGCGAAAGCGUGGGGAGCGAACAGG
rnacentral:rRNA from 1 species